rnacentral:rRNA from 1 species
GCGGACGGGUGAGUAACACGUGGAUAACCUACCUAUAAGACUGGGAUAACUUCGGGAAACCGGAGCUAAUACCGGAUAAUACAUUGAACCGCAUGGUUCAAUAGUGAAAGACGGUUUUGCUGUCACUUAUAGAUGGAUCCGCGCCGCAUUAGCUAGUUGGUAAGGUAACGGCUUACCAAGGCGACGAUGCGUAGCCGACCUGAGAGGGUGAUCGGCCACACUGGAACUGAGACACGGUCCAG